rnacentral:rRNA from 1 species
GAUGAACGCUGGCGGCGUGCCUAAUACAUGCAAGUCGAGCGAACAGACGAGGAGCUUGCUCCUUUGACGUUAGCGGCGGACGGGUGAGUAACACGUGGGUAACCUACCUAUAAGACUGGGAUAACUUCGGGAAACCGGAGCUAAUACCGGAUAAUAUUUCGAACCGCAUGGUUCGAUAGUGAAAGAUGGCUCUGCUAUCACUUAUAGAUGGACCUGCGCCGUAUUAGCUAGUUGGUAAGGUAACGGCUUACCAAGGCAACGAUACGUAGCCGACCUGAGAGGGUGAUCGGCCACACUGGAGCUGAGACACGGUCCAGACUCCUACGGGAGGCAGCAGUAGGGAAUCUUCCGCAAUGGGCGAAAGCCUGACGGAGCAACGCCGCGUGAGUGAUGAAGGUCUUCGGAUCGUAAAACUCUGUUAUUAGGGAAGAACAAACGUGUAAGUAACUGUGCACGUCUUGACGGUACCUAAUCAGAAAGCCACGGCUAACUACGUG